rnacentral:rRNA from 1 species
GAUGAACGCUGGCGGCGUGCCUAAUACAUGCAAGUCGAGCGAACGGACGAGAAGUUUGCUGCUCUGAUGUUAGCGGCGGAGGGGUGAGUAACCCGUGGAUAACCUACUUAUAAGAGGGGGAGAACUGCGGGAAAGCGGAGCAAAUACCGGACAAUAUUUUCACCCGCAUGGUCCAAAAGUGAAAGACGGUUUUCCUGUCACUUAUAGAGGGAACCCCGCGGCUUUAGCUAGUUGGUAAGGUAACGGCCUACCAAGGCAACGAUGGAUAGCCGACCGGAGAGGGUGAUCGGGCACACUGGAACCUAGGCACGGUCCAGACUCCUGCGGGAGGCAGCAGGAGGGAAUCUUCCGCAAUGCGCGAAAGCCUGCCGGCACCACCGCGCGUGAGUGAUGAGGGUCUUCCGCUCGUACAACUCUGUUGUUGGGGAAGGAGAAAUGUGUACGGGACUGGGCACAUCUUGAGGGUACCUAAUCAGAGAGCCCCGGCUAACUACGUG